rnacentral:rRNA from 1 species
GAUUGAACGCUGGCGGCAGGCCUAACACAUGCAAGUCGAGCGGAUGAAGGGAGCUUGCUCCUGGAUUCAGCGGCGGACGGGUGAGUAAUGCCUAGGAAUCUGCCUGGUAGUGGGGGAUAACGUCCGGAAACGGGCGCUAAUACCGCAUACGUCCUGAGGGAGAAAGUGGGGGAUCUUCGGACCCCACGCUAUCAGAUGAGCCUAGGUCGGAUUAGCUAGUUGGUGGGGUAAAGGCCUACCAAGGCGACGAUCCGUAACUGGUCUGAGAGGAUGAUCAGUCACACUGGAACUGAGACACGGUCCAGACUCCUACGGGAGGCAGCAGUGGGGAAUAUUGGACAAUGGGCGAAAGCCUGAUCCAGCCAUGCCGCGUGUGUGAAGAAGGUCUUCGGAUUGUAAAGCACUUUAAGUUGGGAGGAAGGGCAGUAAGUUAAUACCUUGCUGUUUUGACGUUACCAACAGAAUAAGCACCGGCUAACUUCGUG